UACGUAGGGGGCAAGCGUUGUCCGGAUUUAUUGGGCGUAAAGAGCGUGUAGGCGGCUUUACAGGUCCGUUGUGAAAACUCGAGGCUCAACCUCGAGACGCCGGUGGAAACCGUAAAGCUAGAGUCCGGAAGAGGAGAGUGGAAUUCCUGGUGUAGCGGUGAAAUGCGCAGAUAUCAGGAGGAACACCCGUGGCGAAGGCGGGUCUCUGGGCCGAAAUUGACGCUGAGGAGCGAAAGCGUGGGGAGCAAACAGG
rnacentral:rRNA from 1 species